GACGAACGCUGGCGGCGUGCUUAACACAUGCAAGUCGAACGGAAAGGCCCUGCUUUUGUGGGGUGCUCGAGUGGCGAACGGGUGAGUAACACGUGAGUAACCUGCCCUUGACUUUGGGAUAACUUCAGGAAACUGGGGCUAAUACCGGAUAGGAGCUCCUGCUGCAUGGUGGGGGUUGGAAAGUUUCGGCGGUUGGGGAUGGACUCGCGGCUUAUCAGCUUGUUGGUGGGGUAGUGGCUUACCAAGGCUUUGACGGGUAGCCGGCCUGAGAGGGUGACCGGCCACAUUGGGACUGAGAUACGGCCCAGACUCCUACGGGAGGCAGCAGUGGGGAAUAUUGCACAAUGGGCGGAAGCCCGAUGCAGCAACACCGCGUGCGGGAUGACGGCCUUCGGGUUGUAAACCGCUUUCGCCUGUGACGAAGCGUGAGUGACGGUAAUGGGUAAAGAAGCACCGGCUAACUACGUG
rnacentral:rRNA from 1 species